UACGUAGGGGGCAAGCGUUGCCCGGAUUUAUUGGGCGUAAAGAGCGUGUAGGCGGCUUGACAGGUCUGCUGUGAAAACUCGAGGCUCAACCUCGAGAUGUCGGCGGAAACCAUCUGGCUAGAGUCCGGAAGAGGAAAGUGGAAUUCCCGGUGUAGCGGUGAAAUGCGCAGAUAUCGGGAAGAACACCCGUGGCGAAGGCGGCUUUCUGGGACGGUACUGACGCUGAGACGCGAAAGCGUGGGGAGCGAACAGGAUUAGAAACC
rnacentral:rRNA from 1 species